GAAAGACCUUUUAUUGAUUGCUGUAAUUCAAAGGUGUGACAAGAUAAGAGCUUGGAAGUCGUGUAUAAUAAUUACGGGAAAAGUUUGCUUUGAACCAUGAAUUGAGACCGGAAGUAAUGGAACCACAGUUCAUACGACAGCAAGCGAAAGAUAAAAGGAUUCCAGGAUAGUUUAAUGGAUGAAGUCACAGAGUAAUAACCAGAGCCAAGCAGUUUAAAUUGGGCACUGCAACUGUUAAUCCGGCGAGUCUGGCCACCUGGAGUCGACAGCUACUUCAGAGAGACGUCAAAUGUAACGAAUAUUUCUUGCAGUUUUGAUUUUCUAAUAUUAUACUGCAUAACUGCUGCCUACUGUAAUAGUUUUAGUUUUAAGUUAAGAAAAAUAUUUCUAUGUAUUUACAAUAUCAAAAAUCGAUUAUAAUUGUUAAGAAUGUUUCAUUAUUUAUGUCGCGUCGUAAUAAUGAUUCUUUUUUAAGUAGAACACGUAUAUGCGAUUUAACCAAGAAUUGUAUCGAUAGAGAAGACAAAGGGCUCGAUUGCAGUGAGCUUAGAAAAUUUCUUAUUUUUUGCUUCUUCUCUUUUUCUUUCGAUUAAAAGGUAAUUUGAUAAUAGAAUGAUAAAUUCCUAAGCUUGUAAUAUCAUAAUCUGAAAAAUUUGACCUAUGUCUUAAAAAAGAAUAAUUGAUUUUUAAAUUAUCUAGAAAUUUUCGACGCGUUUAUUUAUUUUGUUUAUUUUCAUAUUGUUCGCAUUGGAUGAUGUAAACAUGUUUAUGAGUACUACAAAAAGUUACAGAAACUCUUGAUUAUUAUAAUCUUAUAAUACAGUCUCAAAGAAUAUCAAAGCAGCAUAUUGACUUCAUUAAUGAAAUAAAUAUGAUCGAAUUGAUGCUUUUAAAUCAAGUAUUGCAAAUCUAUAUGGAUAUUUCAUUCUUACAUGAUAUUUUUUUUCAUAUUUUCUCAGUCAUAACUACUUGCGGUAUUACUAGCACCAACAGAUCUAAUUCUACAACAAUGUAUGGAGAAAAGUAAUAAAACUGACGUCUGAUUGGUUAAAAUAUAGGAAGACUGUUUUUAAUUUAAUUGAAAUUCAGAUGUGUAUUGCACGUGGUGGAUAUUAUAGUCAAAAGCUCUGUUGUAUAUCGUUAAGUAGGUAAUAUACAUUUCUUUUUCCAUGUAAUCUUAUUUCCUUUUUUAAUAAUGUAAUUGGAAUGGGUGUAUGUGGUAGGCGAGGUGUUGCCGGUAUGAAAAAUGCUUAUUUGAAAUAUCAUUGAACUAGAAAGGGGUGAUAAACUUUAUUUUAUAUUUGAUUAGCCUAAAAUUGACGCUUAUCCUAAGCUAAAUAUUUAUUAAAAUUUCACUCGAUUCUUCUUGUAUCAUUUCUCCAUAACGUUCAGUUGAUAAAGUAUUUUCGUUUAACAAUAAGUUAUUUAUUGUUUAUUGGAAUUAAAUAAUAUGAUCGAAAUAUGUUUUCGAAUAAGAAGAAUAAUGUGACAUAUCAUAAUAAAUCGUAAUCAUUUAAUACAUAUAUAUAUAUAUAUAUAUACACACAUACACACAUUAUUUUCGUAUAAGAUAAAAUGGAUAUAAUAUAUUUUCAAAUAAUCAAAAUCGCAAAAAACUAUUAACCAAUUCUCAGAAUUUAGAAAUGUAGACAAAGAAGGAGAAUCAAACUCUAUUCGAUGCACUAUCAAAAACGAUUAUUAUGCCAUCAAUGUUUCACGAACUGACAAAAAUAGAGAUAAAAAAUGGUGGAAAUGGGAUUACCUAAUUUUUGCUCAUCGCUGCUAAUAGAAUUAGAACUAGGUGUAUGAAAAUCCGUGGGUGAUGGUACACACGUAGAAAAUGUGCUGCUCUAUCUGGAAAUUCACCUAAUUCUGACUUAACGAUUUCUGAAAACAUCCUGGUGAGGGUUAAAAUAGUUCGAACAGUAUAUUACAAGUAGCUGCUAGAAUUUCUUUAGCUCGUGGAGGAAAAGGUGGAGCUAGGUGUGGUUCCGGUAAAGAAGGUUACAGCAAUGGUGGAUUUGAUGGUGGUGAUGAUGGUUGUUUAACAGGAGGUAGAGGUGGAGGUUAUAUAAGUAAAGACAACAUUUCUCCUUACUAACAAAUUCCUUUUAAGAUUUUCGAGCUAUAAAUACAGAUAUGAACAGAAUUUAAUAUAAACGAUUUUCCUUUCUGAUAAAAUAGAAGAUUUUUUUCAUUCAGUAUUUUCACUUAUGUAUUUAACAAAUCUUAAUUUCCAUUUAGAUUAAAAAAUUGGAAAUAAUUUCUUACAAAUAUAAAUCAUUUCGAAAUAAGUAUCAUUAUUCUUAAUAUCACGCAGGAGGCAAUACCAAUUUUAAGACUUUUGGUAAUAUUGAAGACAGAUAUUCUUACGUUGUACUUGUCUUACUAUAUAUUUAUUGUCAACCUAAACCUGAAUGUAGACUGGAACCUAACUAUGUCCUCAACAGUAAUUCCAGAUCUUGUAUCAAUAUGUGACACAUUUUUAAUAUUUAAUUGUCAUUAAUAUGUAAUAAUUAUUAUUAGAAAUAAAUAUUUUUUAACGAGAACUCAUGUCUAUUAUGAUGCCUUAUGACUUAAAGAUUUCUUACUAAGCGUUUAUAAUUUAGUUGAUAAUCACUAGCAAGAUUUUAUUACUGGCUUUCACCGAAUUUUACUAUUUUGUAAGCGAUUGGACUUCUCUUUCAAAAAUAAAAAUCAAUGUUACAAUAUUUAAUCUUCAUAAAUUUUAUGUCAUAAAUAAUCGUUGUUAGAAAAUCUCUUUUAUGAUACUGGCAAAUAAUGUUUAGAAAUGAUACAGAGUUGAUAAUCUUGGAAUCUAUCUCGAACACGAUGAUAAUCGAGUUUAAUGUGUAUUACUAAUUUACUAGGAAUUUAUAUAGUUUUAUGGAUUUACCUCAAAUUCCACAUAAGUAUAUAUAUCUCUUUGGUAAAGUCAAUAUUUCAUUUCUUCGAAUUAAAGAAACGAAAGAAUCAUGCAGUAAUUUUAUGAUACAAGUAGAUCACUUGGACAAGGUGCUUUCGGCGUAGUCUUUCAACAUAUAACAAGAAGCAUCCGUUAGCUGUUAAAACUCUACCCUCGUUGGCAAUAUCCCAAGCCAAAAUUGAUUUCAUGAUGGAAGUCCUUAUCUGUUCUUCUCUGAGAAAUAAUGUCUUUUGGAUACCUGCCAUAUACCUGCUGUAUCAAUCAGAAGGUAAUAUCAAUAACUUCUCAUUUGAAAAAGUCGUUUGAAAAAGCUAUGUGGUUGCCCGAUUCAAUUUAUGGUAUAACGACGUAUUAUUGGCAUCAAUGUCCGAAAGAUCAGUCUAGUUUUACGAUUACUGACGAAAGAAUUGAUCAUCGCUAGCAGAAUCUUUUGUUCAUUAGAACCUCGACCUAUUAACCCAUGCAACAUUGAAUUACAACAUUCUAUUAUCUUGAAAUCGUGAAUAAGAUCAAUUAUGGAAUUGAAUCCUAAAACUGAAUGCAUUAAUGUGUAUUAAAACAGAAGUUAAUUAAAUAAUAUAGAAUUUGCUUAAACAAAAAAUGUAUACGCAUCGGUUGACAUCAUUAAAUAAAUAAAAAAUACAAAAUUCUACCGGUUUCUU